ensembl:scaRNA small Cajal body-specific RNA 13
GCUCUGCAGUUUGGGGCCGCGCGGGGUUGGCGGUACCCUGGAGCGCACCAGACGGGCAGAGAAAGCAUACUCCAGAGGAAGCUGAGGCAUGGCCGCUCGAGGGCCAGCGGUGCCGUGUGCAAUGUUCCUCUGAUACGGUACUGUUGCCACGGUGGUAAUGGCUGUGCCGUGUCAUUAUCGAUCCACCAACAGUAAGAGAAACUGCAGUCGAGAUAUUGUUUAGCAGACAGAGCGCGUUCUGUUGGACACUAAGUACUGCUACAAAU